rnacentral:rRNA from 1 species
GUCAAGUGGCAGGGCCUAGAGGCGGGGCCGUGCGAGCUGAGGGACGAGCGGGAGUCGCUGCUGGAGCAGUUCAGGUUGUAGAAGUAGCUCCCGCAGAGGGUGUUCUAGGCGGCCGUCUAGCUCCUGGACCUCGCGCGGCCUCCCCAGCUCGGGCCGUGGGAGUGGCAGCUGCCGCAGGGGCAGCUGUCGAUGGAGUGGUCCAAGCACACCCUGCUCCCGUUCAUGGGGCAGUUACGGGGCGAGUUCCUCUGGCAGCGGUCGUAGGUCAGGGUCCAGCGGUUCUAGCUCCUGCUGUACUUCCAAUCUCAACGACUUAUGCCAUUACAAUUCUCGGUCGAACCGCGUUAGUUGUCCUUCGUUUGACCCUCAAAUCGUCAAGCACUGGAAAGGUUGGAGUAUUUCGGUCUACUAUACCAGUGAAGCCUUGUAGAUCACUGUGAGGAAAGAUAACACGGUUUCAUAAGGGUUUUUCUAACCAAUAGUUCGAUGCUCAGUGAACUAUGCAAACACCAAGGCUCUAGUAGUUUUUUCGAAAUGCUCCUGUUACUCAUACGAGAGAUGUGACAUUGUAAUAAACGGUUCCAACAACUGUUGAAAUUCCAGGUACGAGCACUCUUUCCAAAGGUCUAGGUACUGAAACUCAUAUCAGGACUUCGUAUCCUCUCAGCCUUCGUUCUCGAUCUUUUUGACGACGUUCUGGUCCUUCAAUACUCCUGGAGAGAUAACGUUACCACGAUACGUUCGAUGUCACUCACGAUGAGGAUCACCAGUAGUACCGGCUUGAAUUGACUACUCUCAUAUGGAUCUUAUAACCCGAAGUCAACGAACCAACGACCUGUAAUCACCGCAACUACUACGAGUAAGAUUGAUCGCCCUCUCCCCUCCCUCGCAACUUCCUUGGCCUACUUCUGCUCAAAGUAGCACUACUACGAGUAGCACUACUGGCGUCGAGAGAAGAUACACUACCAUCAAAUCUACUAGCUAUAGCUGAAUAUUACACUUCUGUUUGAGCGAUGAGCGCCAGCUGAACAUUAUAUUACAAGAUAGAAACAAGCCAGAAAAGUUAAGCCUCUGAUUAUACUACUUAACAUAAACCUCUGAUAAUACUACUUAACAUAAGCCUCUGAUUAUACUACUUAACAUAAGUUUCUGAUUAGAAGAUAACAUAAGC